AGACGUAGGGGGCGAGCGUUGUCCGGAAUUACUGGGCGUAAAGAGCACGUAGGCGGGUAUUUAAGUCAGGUGUGAAAGACCGCAGCUUAACUGCGGGGUUGCAUUUGAAACUGGGUAUCUUGAGGGCAGGAGAGGGCAGUGGAAUUCCUGGUGUAGCGGUGAAAUGCGUAGAAAUCAGGAGGAACACCAGUGGCGAAGGCGGCUGUCUGGACUGACCCUGACGCUGAGGUGCGAAAGCGUGGGUAGCAAACAGGAUUAGAUACCCUGGUAGUCCACGCUGUAAACGAUGGAUACUAGGUGUGGGAGGUAUCGACCCCUUCCGUGCCGCAGCUAACGCAAUAAGUAUCCCGCCUGGGGAGUACGGUCGCAAGGCUGAA
rnacentral:rRNA from 1 species